rnacentral:rRNA from 1 species
GGGUUAGUAGGUUGGUCAUGCCUCUGGUAUGUACUGAUCUCACUGAUUCCUCCUUCCUGAUGAGCCGUAAUGCCAUUAAUUUGGUGUUUUGGGGAAUUUGGACUGUUACCUUGAGAAAAUUAGAGUGUUUAAAGCAAGCUAACGCUUGAAUACAUUAGCAUGGAAUGAUGAAAUAGGACGUUCGAUCCUAUUUUGUUGGUUUCUAGGACCGCUGCA